AUUUCUUAUCACGGCUUGUGGCUAUUUGAAUUCAUUGUCUCUGUGAUCAGAUCUCUUUUUGAAUGGUUAGUCAUUUCAGGGAGGAGAUGGAGUGAUUUGCGUCUUAUUUUAUAGCCGACGAACGAUCCGCUUAUUCAGUGAAGCUUAACCUCACGUAGGAUGUGAAGAUGGGCAGGCGGAGUGGAUAUUCUGGCCGAGAGGAAGGAGAAGGUUUUCUUUAACGCACACACUAUUUAUUUCCGGUAGCUGGACCAUAAUUUCCUUUGAUAAUCAUAAUAGCAAUUGUAUAUUUUUCAUUUUUGUUGGCCGUACUAAAUCCAAAGAAUUUAGUACUUGGGUAACUUGCACAAAAUAAAAAGGUGAAAUUGUAAGGUAAUGGCUAUUUGUGGUUAUAAUAUAAACUUUAGAUUGUAUGAUCAUGUUCAUUAAAAAAAAAGAAGUUGAACAACUCUAAAUUAAAUUUACCAUAUGAAGUUUUGAUUAAAGGCUUAGUACAUACUCGAGUUAUAUAUAGUUUGUUGACAAAAGAGAGUCAUAUAUAGUUUUGAUGAUGUGAAUAAGUACCAGCAAAAAUAAGUACCAAUAUGGGGGAAUUUCAAUACUUUAGUGAAAAUUACAAUAUUGAGAUGGUCAAAUACUUAAUUAUGUUGAAAAUAAUAUAUUUCUAAUAGCUAUCACUCUGUACACACCAACAAAAAAAAAUCUAAAAGAAAAAACUGUCUUUAAUCAAAUCAGUAUUCACGUAACGGGCAACAACACACAUAAGCUGCGCGAAGAAUUGGUUUAACUUGCGUUCAACGUAAAUUCAUAAACCGUUAGUUUUAUAAAAAAAAAUUCAUGUAUAUGUUUAUGUUUUGUAAUUUACAUAUAGAGUAGAAUAUAUUAUUUUAUAAUAUAAAUAAAUUUUUUAUUUGUACAUAAUAUUGUGUUAUAACUUGAUGUAAUUUGAUGUAAUUGUAUCAAUUGGUGACAGCUUGUCCUGUGGGAAUGCUGUUAAAGGGUGAGGUCCUGGGUUCGAGGUUCACCAACAACCUAAUUAUGGAGUUAAUGAGUACUCAUAAUAGAGGGGUUGGGGUCGGUGCGCUGCAGCGUUGUGAACCUCGGGUUCCCACGGGGCGGGUUGACUGUCUUUAAUCAAAUCAGUAUCCACAUAACGGGCAACAACACACAUAAGCUGCGCGAAUAAUUGGUUUAACUUGCGUUCAACGUAAAUUCAUAAACCGUUGGUUUUAUAAAAAAAACUUCAUGUAUAUGUUUAUGUUUUGUAAUUUACAUAUAGAGUAGAAUAUAUUAUUUUAUAGUAUAAAUAUUUUUUUUAUUUGUACAUAAUAUUGUGUUAUAACUUGAUGCAAUUUGAUGUAAUUGUACUAUUCAUAUAUUAAUCUAUUGUUUUUAUGUUAAUUUAUUUUAAAAUAAUACAACAUACUAAAAAAUUUAAUUUUUUGCAUUAGUUUUCUAUGAAUUAUUAUUAAUUUUAUGAUAUUUUAUUUUCUUGAAAAUUGAACUCUCUAAAUUUUUGUAUUUGAAUAAACUAAAUAAGGUAAUACUAUAUUUAAAAAAAAUUAUAUAAUAUAUACUAUAUAUUUCAGUGAGUAUUUUUAUUUUCACCAUAAAUAAACAAAAACCAUUGUAAUUAACUAAUUUAAAUUGAUUUUAAAUGUAGUGACAAAAUCUAUAAAUAAAAAGAAAUACAAAAAGAAGUAGUUAUCUUUUUAUAAAUGCAAUGGCUAAAUGUGUAAAUGAAAUAAAGUACUUAAUCUAUUAUCCAUAUUUUCAAACAGGUUUUAUUUAUACAUCUUUCCAAACAAUAUCAAAAUGUACUUCAGUUUUAAUAUUAUAAAUAAUAUUAAAUUUGGUAUUUUACUAAUAUACUUUAAUUAUUAUCUCCAAUCAAAAAAUUAAAUUUUGUGUUCGUGUGUAUUACAUUAGUUAUAUAUAAAUAUUUUUGUUUAAAAUAAUUUAUAUACUUAUUUAUUUAUUUUUUAGUUAAUUCUUAUAUGUAUUAUAAAUUAAAAAUUUAUACAAGUAUUUUAAUUAAAUUUUUAAUUUAAUGAAAAAUAUUAAGUUAAUAUCAUUAUUAAAUAAAUAGAAAAAAUAUUUGAUUUAAUUUCGUGUGAUGAAUAAUGUUACACCAUGUUUUUAUUUAUGUAAAAUCUCAAUAGAUACGCUUUAUACAUAUGAAUUGUUUUCAUAAUAUCGUAUGUAAUCAAAUAAUUCAAAUAUAAUACUUUUAAAAUGUGGGCUUUUACUAUACUUAUUAUGAAUUUUAUAUUUUAUAAUCACUGGUUUAAAGAAAAAGACAUUUUAGUAUUUUAUUUUUACCCUAUAUUUCAAUACAUAAUCUUAUUUAAAAGUAUUUAUUAGAUUGUUAGAGAUAAAUAAAUAUUUUUCAGUAGUACAAAAUUAGACUUCAUUCAAUUUUCAACAAAAUAAAUUUGGAAAAAAAUAACAUGUGGAGAAAAUGAAAGAUUGGUCAAUUUUGGAGAAUCUAUAAUGUUUUUGAAUAUUCAAGUGAAUUAUUAUAACAAUGGCUUUAAGUAAACAAUUGUAAUUGUGUAGAUGAAUAUUUUCAAUUAUUUAAAAGAAAUAUUUAAUUUUUAUAAAAAUAUUCACAACUUUUAAAUGUUCCACUGUAAUUUUUAAUAGUUAACAUUGCAAUAAUUGAUUAUUAACAUUUCAACCGGUUGAUUGUUGCAAACUAAAAUUUUAAUUUUACAUUUAAAUUUUAACAUCAUUUUUUUGCGGUAAAACAUCUUUCUCCCCCG